GAUGAAGAACGUAGCGAAAUGCGAUAAGUAAUGUGAAUUGCAGAAUUCAGUGAAUCAUCGAAUAUUUGAACGCACAUUGCGCCCGCCAGUAUUCUGGCGGGCAUGCCUGUUCGAGCGUCAUUACAACCCUCAGGCCCCCGGGCCUGGCGUUGGGGAUCGGCGGAGCCCCCCGUGGGCACACGCCGUCCCCCAAAUGCAGUGGCGGUCCCGCCGCAGCUUCCAUCGCGUAGUAGCUAACACCUCGCGACUGGAGAGCGGCGCGGCCACGCCGUAAAACACCCAACUCUUCUGAAGUUGACCUCGAAUCAGGUAGGAAUACCCGCUGAACUUAAGCAUAUCAAUAAGCGGAGGA
rnacentral:misc_RNA from 1 species